UACGUAGGGUGCAAGCGUUGUCCGGAAUUAUUGGGCGUAAAGGGCGCGCAGGCGGCUACGCACGUCCGUUGUGAAAUCGCUCGGCUCAACUGGGCGGGGUCGGCGGAUACGGCGUAGCUGGAGCAAGCUAGGGGGCAAUGGAAUUCCCGGUGUAGUGGUGGAAUGCGUAGAUAUCGGGAGGAACACCAGUGGCGAAGGCGGUUGCCUGGAGCUUUGCUGACGCUGAGGCGCGAAAGCGUGGGGAGCGAACAGG
rnacentral:rRNA from 1 species